rnacentral:SRP_RNA from 1 species
GCUGAGCCCGGCAACGCGGGCUUGUAACCCGAGCGGGGUCUUGAUGUCAUUGGAUGUUGACCAUGCUUAAUAGGUCGGGGUUCAGUUUGGCCAUCAUCUGGCUUGCCCGUUCCAAGUCAGGAGUUGUUAGCAAUUAGCCUGGAAAAAAUCCAUCUGACCUCUUAAUUCAAGCUGACUUUUCCUGACAAGUUAACCGGAUAAUUCACCAGCUCAAUAAUGUUUUUUAAAACUUGACAAGCAUUGGGCCAGACUAUUUUUUUA